CGCGGCCUAUCAGCUUGUUGGUGAGGUAACGGCUCACCAAGGCAUCGACGGGUAGCUGGUCUGAGAGGACGAUCAGCCACACUGGGACUGAGACACGGCCCAGACUCCUACGGGAGGCAGCAGUAGGGAAUCUUGCGCAAUGGGCGAAAGCCUGACGCAGCAACGCCGCGUGGGGGAUGAAUGCCUUCGGGUUGUAAACCCCUUUCAGCAGGGACGAAAAUGACGGUACCUGCAGAAGAAGCUCCGGCCAACUACGUGCCAGCAGCCGCGGUAAUACGUAGGGAGCGAGCGUUGUCCGGAAUUAUUGGGCGUAAAGAGCUCGUAGGCGGUUCAGUAAGUCGGGUGUGAAAACUCAAGGCUCAACCUUGAGACGCCACUCGAUACUGCUGUGACUUGAGUCCGGUAGAGGAGUGUGGAAUUCCUGGUGUAGCGGUGAAAUGCGCAGAUAUCGGGAGGAACACCAGCGGCGAAGGCGGCACUCUGGGCCGGUACUGACGCUGAGGAGCGAAAGCAUGGGGAGCAAACAGGAUUAGAUACCCUGGUAGUCCAUGCCGUAAACGUUGGGCACUAGGUAUGGGAUCAUAUCAACGGAUUCCGUGCCGUAGCUAACGCAUUAAGUGCCCCGCCUGGGGAGUACGG
rnacentral:rRNA from 1 species